rnacentral:rRNA from 1 species
UUAAGCAUAUCAAUAAGCGGAGGAAAAGAAACUAACAAGGAUUCCCCUAGUAACUGCGAGUGAAGCGGGAAAAGCUCAAAUUUAAAAUCUGGCGGUCUUUUUGGCCGUCCGAGUUGUAAUCUAGAGAAGUGUUAUCCGCGCUGGACCGUGUACAAGUCUCCUGGAAUGGAGCAUCAUAGAGGGUGAGAAUCCCGUCUUUGACAUGGACUGCCAGGGCUUUGUGAUGCGCUCUCAAAGAGUCGAGUUGUUUGGGAAUGCAGCUCAAAAUGGGUGGUAAAUUCCAUCUAAAGCUAAAUAUUGGCGAGAGACCGAUAGCGAACAAGUACCGUGAGGGAAAGAUGAAAAGAACUUUGGAAAGAGAGUUAAACAGUACGUGAAAUUGCUGAAAGGGAAACGCUUGAAGUCAGUCACGUCGACCAGGGAUCAACCUUGCUUUUGCUUGGUGCACUUUCUGGUUUGAUGGGUCAGCAUCAAUUUUGACUAUUGGAAAAAGGCUGAGGGAAUGUGGCAUCUUUGGAUGUGUUAUAGCCCUUGGUCACAUACAAUGGUUGGGAUUGAGGAACUCAGCAUGCCGCAAGGCCGGGUUUUAAACCACGUUCGUGCUUAGGAUGCUGGCAAUAUGGCUUUAAUCGACCCGUCUUGAAACACGGACCAAGGAGUCUAACAUGCCUGCGAGUGUUUGGGUGGAAAACCCGAGCGCGUAAUGAAAGUGAUAAGUUGAGAUCCCUGUCGUGGGGAGCAUCGACGCCCGGACCAGACCUUUUGUGACGGUUCCGCGGUAGAGCAUGUAUGUUGGGACCCGAAAGAUGGUGAACUAUGCCUGAAUAGGGUGAAUCCAGAGGAAACUCUGGUGGAGGCUCGUAGCGAUUCUGACGUGCAAAUCGAUCGUCAAAUUUGGGUAUAGGGGCGAAAGACUAAUCGAACCAUCUAGUAGCUGGUUCCUGCCGAAGUUUCCC